GCCUCCUUAGCUCAGUCGGUAGUGCAUCGGGCUUUUAAUCUGAGGGUCGGGGGUUCCAGUCCCACAGAGGGCG
rnacentral:tRNA from 1 species